GCUGUUCUCAGUUCGGACUGCAGUCUGCAACUCGACUGCACGAAGCUGGAAUCGCUAGUAAUCGCGGAUCAGCACGCCGCGGUGAAUACGUUCCCGGGCCUUGUACACACCGCCCGUCAAGUCAUGAAAGUGGGCAGCACCCGAAGACGGUGGCCUAACCCUUGUGGGGGGAGCCGUCUAAGGUGAGGCUCGUGAUUGGGACUAAGUCGUAACAAGGUACC
rnacentral:rRNA from 1 species